AAGGGGCGGGGCUUGGGAUGAACGGGGAUCUAUGGGGCAGAAUUUGGGGGUCUAUGGGGUGGAAUUUGGGGGUCUAUGGAGCACAGUUUGGGGGUCUAUGGGGCAGCUAUCGGGUUCUAUGGGGCUCCAUGGGGCAGCUAUGGGUCUCUAGGGUGCUCUAUGGGGCGCUAUGGGGCAGCUAUGGGGUUCUAUGGGGCUCUAUGGGGUUCUUUGGGGCAGCUAUGGGGUUCUAUGGGGCUCUAUGGGGUUCUUUGGGGCAGCUAUGGGGCAGCUAUGGUGCUCGAUGGGUUUCUAUACGGCACUAUGGGGCUCUAUGGGGCAGCUAUGGGGCAGCUAUGAAGCUCUAUGGGGCUCUGUGGGGCAGCUAUGGGGCUGUAUGGGGCUCUAUAUGGCAGCUCUGGGGCUCUAUGGGGUGUUAUGGGGCAGCCGUGGGGCAGUUAUGGUGCUCUAUGGGGUGCUAUGGGACAGCCAAGCGGCAGCUAUGGGGCUCUAUGAGGCUCUAUGGGUCAGCUAUGAGGCAGCUAUGGGGCAGCUAUGGGGCUCUAUUGGGCAGCUAUGGGGCUCUGUGGGGCUCUAUGGGACUCUAUGGGGCAGCUAUGGGGCUCUGUGGGGCUCUAUGGGACUCUAUGGGGCAGCUAUGGGGCUCUAUGGGGCAGCUAUGGGGCACCAUGGGGCUCUAUGGGGUUCUAUGGGGCUCUAUGGGGCUCUAUGGGGUUCUAUGGGGCUCUAUGGGGCAGCUAUGGGGCUCUAUGGUGCUCUAUGGGGCAGCUAUGGGGCUCUAUGGGGCAGCAGUGGAGGUGAGGUUGGGGUCCCCGUGGGUCCCUCCCCUAAUUAUGACACCCCUUAAUUAAUGAGCCCCCAAAUUAGGACAGAACCCCUUAAUUAACUCCCUUCUCCUUUAAUGAGGACCCUCCUUAAUUAAUCCUCCCCCCCCCUUAACGAGGACCCUCCUCAAUUAACGACCCCUCCCUUAACGAGGACUCUCCUCAAUUAAUGACCCCCCCCCAAUUAAGACCCCCCCAUUAAGAACCCACCCCAGCAGCCCCUCAUUAAGACCCCCUUAAUUACCCAAACAGCCCCUCGUUAACCAAUUAACCCCCCUUAAUUAACCACCGCCCCCC
rnacentral:lncRNA from 1 species